rnacentral:lncRNA from 1 species
CUGGCUAUAUGGAUAGAUGCACGGUGGCUCUGGUGGUAAGCUUGUCUGUGUUUACUUCCAAUUCAAUUAUUUGAUAGUCAAUUUAAUAUUGUAUCAGUUACUUUAAUAUGGUACAUAAUUAGUCUAGCAUGGUAUAAUUAAUAUAGAAUGGCAUACAGCUAAUUUGUUAUGAUAUACAGUUAAUAUAUAUUGGUAUACAAUUAAUAUAUAUUAGUACACAGUUAAUCUAUAUUGGUACACAAUUAAUCUAUUAUGGUAUGUAGUUAAUCUAUAUUGGUACACACUUAAUUUAUUAUGA